rnacentral:lncRNA from 1 species
AGGAGGACGGGAGGCACCCCCGGUCCAGCAGGCAGCGGGCGGUCCCCCGGGCCCACCCAGCACUCCAAGGCCAGCCAGCUUGGCUCCAGCAGGGCGGGCCCCACAUCCGCCUGCCCCACCUGCAAGCGUCAGGGACCCCGACCCCGCGGCUCCUCCGGCCGCUCUUGAGAAAGGCAGAGGGCCUGGGGCAGCCAGCCUGGCCAAGCCUCGGUCCCCAGAGGGCCUGUCAGCUCUCACCCGAUAACCUGUCUGAGUCACUCCAUGACUGUCAUUCUGUCUCCUCUUCGCAAGUCGGCCUCGGCACCUCACGGCCCGUGGACAAACCUGGAAGCCCUUGCCUGGCCGUCGUUGGAGCCACGUGGCCCCAGGAGCGCCCGGGCUCAGCCCAGCCAAGACGUCCCCGAGCCUGGCUCAAGCUGCACACCGCCCACCUCCGCGUCCCCACACUCCCCCCCACCCCACCCCCGAGGGUGUCUUGCCCUGAGACCUGGGUGGGACCUCUCGUGUUCAGUGUCCAGAACUGGGCCUGGCUCACUGGGGAGAGAGCAAGGCGAACGCACGCAGACACACAGGCCUGACAAAGGCUCACAGCUGUUGACAGAAAGAGCCCGGGACACACCUAGAGGCGGCAGGAGAGACUUCACGCAGGCCCCUGCAGUGGGGAGAGACCCCACAAGGACUCCAGGGUUUAAAGGGAGAGCAGGAGUCUCCCGGUGGCUCAGCCAGUUAAGCAUCUGAGGCUGUCACUGCUGUGGCACAGUUUCGAUCCCUGGCUCAGAACUUCUUCAUGCCUCGAGUGCGGCCAAACAAUAAAUAAAUAAAGGGAUGACGUUUUCGUUGUGG